rnacentral:rRNA from 1 species
AUUGAACGCUGGCGGCAUGCCUUACACAUGCAAGUCGAACGGCAGCACGGGAGCAAUCCUGGUGGCGAGUGGCGAACGGGUGAGUAAAGUAUCGGAACGUGCCCAGUCGUGGGGGAUAACGUAGCGAAAGUUACGCGAAUACCGCAUACGAUCUAUGGAUGAAAGCGGGGGAUCGCAAGACCUCUCGCGAUUGGAGCGGCCGAUAUCAGGUUAGGUAGUUGGUGGGGUAAAGGCUCACCAAGCCGACGAUCUGUAGCUGGUCUGAGAGGACGACCAGCCACACUGGGACUGAGACACGGCCCAGACUCCUACGGGAGGCAGCGGUGGGGAAUUUUGGACAAUGGGCGAAAGCCUGAUCCAGCCAUGCCGCGUGCAGGAUGAAGGCCUUCGGGUUGUAAACUGCUUUUGUGCGGAACGAAAAGGUUUGGCCUAAUAAGCUGAGCUCAUGACGGUACCGUAAGAAUAAGCACCGGCUAACUACGUGCCAGCCGCCGCAGUAA